rnacentral:tRNA from 1 species
AUUUAUGUAGUUUAAAAAAAAACAUUACAUUUUCAUUGUAAAAAUAAAAAUAACUUUUUCAUAAAUA